UGGCUAAGAUCAAGUGUAUAGUAGUAUUUGUUUUUAUGAGUUUAAUAUCUUAUAUGGGGCACAAUGAUAUUAAAUUUAUUUUUUACGGGGAAAGACCCAUCAAAAUAGCUUGUCAUUGGGGUCUUUGCACGUCGCCCAUGCGUUGUAUUGCUGCACGGGCCUGGCGUACCCAAC
rnacentral:snRNA from 1 species